rnacentral:tmRNA from 1 species
CCUCUUGGAAGGCCGCGUCGCCCAUACUAUAUUGAUCCUGCUCGGGUUCGCCCGAGCUAUGGCGAUAAACGCGCCUGUAAUAAGCGGACCGGACCCGGGUGCGAUUCCCGGCGGCUCCACCAACUUCUUCCCCGCGUUAUCGGCGGAGGCAGCAUGGGGCCGACUAGCAUCGACGGACGUGUAAAGAGGAUUGCUUUCGCUCGUCCUGGCCCACCGUAUCGGGCCUUUAUCUAACUGCGAACGAUAACUUCGCUGGAGAAGUCCGCCUCGCCGCGUAAUGCGGUUCGGUUGAUUUCGAACACUUAAGUCCUAGGGGUUCAGAUCCUUAGGCGGGGCCCGGGGGGCGCCUGGCAACAGAAGCCCCCCCACU